rnacentral:rRNA from 1 species
CAGCAGCAGCCGCGGGAAUACGUAGGGUGCAAGCGUUAAUCGGAAUUACUGGGCGUAAAGCGUGCGCAGGCGGUUAUAUAAGACAGAUGUGAAAUCCCCGGGCUCAACCUGGGAACUGCAUUUGUGACUGUAUAGCUAGAGUACGGCAGAGGGGGAUGGAAUUCCGCGUGUAGCAGUGAAAUGCGUAGAUAUGCGGAGGAACACCGAUGGCGAAGGCAAUCCCCUGGGCCUGUACUGACGCUCAUGCACGAAAGCGUGGGGAGCAAACAGGAUUAGAUACCCGUGUAGUCCCUGUCUCUUAUAC